CUGUGAAACUUCAUUAAUCUGACAAUGUCAUCUUGUACACAUACUCACACAUACCUGUUGUAUACAAGAAAAUUAGAAAAUUUUAGAGCGAGUGUCCUUAGAUGCCUGAAGUCAUUGUUUUGAAAAUGAAGAAACAUAAUCCUACAGAAAUCAAAUCCGGAGCUGGAAUCCAGAUCAUCCGAUUUCCAGUUAAAGAUUUCUUCCAGCACUUCGUAACAAUCCAAUGAAAAUAAACAGAAAGGAGAAUAACAGGAAUCCUAACAUCUCUUUUUUUCCCAGCAAUUGUUCAGUCAGUACAGAAGGCUAUUUGUAUUUGCAACUAGAAGAAAAAGGAAGAAAGAAAGUAAAGGAAGGAGGGAGGAAGUGGAAGGGAAGGGAAAGAAAGAGGAGAAUGAAGGGGAGAAAAGGGAGGGGGAGGAGGAAGGGCUCCAGACCACCGGAGAGAGCUCUCCCAGAGGAUCCGGCCACAUCCGGGGAGAGCGCUCCCAGGGGAUCCGGCCACAUCCGGGGAGAGCGCUCCCGGAGAAUCCAGCCACGUCCGGGGACCAGCCUACAUCCGGGGAGAGCUGUCCGAGAGAACCCAGCCACAUCCGGGACGUCGGCACCGCGGCUCUAGGGUAAGAGUCCGCCAUCUGCAGAAGCCUCAUUCACGGUUAGAUCUUUCUCAAGAGUCGAAGCUCAUUCGGAAACAGACCCCAUCGCCUCCUGUUCACAACUUGGAGGAAGAAGGAGAAAUGCGAAGGGGUAUAAACAGGGACUUUCUUUUCUACAAAAUGCAGGUGAUAUCAUUAAAAGACAACACAUCCAAUUCAAACACAGUGGCUGCUCUCUGCUCUGAACGUUUACCCAUUCAUUCGUUCAGCCAAUACUUUCUUGAGCAGGGACUUAGAACAGGAAAGGCAUUAAGCACAAGUCAGAAAGCCCAACACAGCCUCACCGACUGGAGUUUACAGAUCACUGGAGCAGAGAACCCCCAAGAGAGAGUCAUGACAACAUCAGGAUACACCUCGAAGGGGAAGGGUAGAUUCUAUCCACCCCCUGACAUCUGGAUGCCAGAGUGUGAGAACCAAAGAAUCCUAGAAGUACGUGCAAUAGUGUUUGGCUUCAUGCGCUUAAUUCAUUCCAUGGUUCUGGGGAAGAUGAUUACAGCCACGCUUGUGCAGGGAAAGUGGCCAUGUCUUGUUAAUCACCCCAGGCGGAGUUUGUGAAUGGCAGCAAAAUUUCACUAAAAGCUUCUGUUUGCCAAAUUUGGUUGACAAACAGAGGAACUUCUGAAUCAAAGUAUCACUGUAAUACAUUCUUUAAAGAAUUCAUUGUAAAAAUUAAGGUUAAUUCAAAAGGUAGGAAAAUAAAGGAAACAAGAG
rnacentral:lncRNA from 1 species